UACGGAGGAUGCAAGCGUUAUCCGGAAUGAUUGGGCGUAAAGCGUCCGUAGGCGGUUUGUUGCGUCGGCUGUGAAAUCCCGAGGCUCAACCUCGGGUCUGCAGUCGAUACGAGCAAACUAGAGUGUUGCAGGGGAGACUGGAAUUCCUGGUGUAGCGGUGAAAUGCGCAGAUAUCAGGAGGAACACCGGUGGCGAAGGCGGGUCUCUGGGCAACAACUGACGCUGAGGAGCGAAAGCGUGGGGAGCGAACAGG
rnacentral:rRNA from 1 species